GUUUCUGGAAACUACGAAGGCCCCCUUUUUAAGAACCCUCAGCUGUCGUCGCCUCCGCUCUUCGAGUACCCUAAUCUGGUCUCUACCGAAGCCCACCAUGUAUCGCGCCAUGGCCUCCCUCGCCUCCAGAGCCCGGGUUGCGGGAAGCAGCUCCAAACAGAUUGGAAGUAGGGUCGGUUGGAGUAGAAAUUACGCUGCAAAGGAUAUCAGAUUUGGGGUCGAGGCUCGUGCUUUGAUGCUUAAGGGAGUGGAAGAGCUUGCUGAUGCGGUGAAGGUGACGAUGGGCCCAAAGGGUCGCAAUGUCGUCUUAGAGCAAAGCUUUGGUGCACCCAAAGUUACAAAGGAUGGCGUGACUGUUGCAAAGAGCAUCGAGUUCAAGGACAGAAUAAAGAAUAUGGGUGCUAGUCUUGUGAAGCAGGUUGCCAAUGCAACCAAUGAUGUUGCUGGUGAUGGAACAACAUGUGCUACCAUCCUUACAAAAGCAAUAUUUGCUGAAGGAUGUAAGUCAGUGGCUGCCGGGAUGAAUGCAAUGGAUCUGAGACGUGGCAUUUCAAUGGCUGUUGAUGCUGUUGUGACUAAUUUGAAGAGCAGAGCAAGAAUGAUUAGUACCUCAGAAGAGAUAGCUCAGGUUGGUACAAUAUCAGCUAAUGGAGAAAGAGAAAUUGGUGAACUAAUUGCAAAAGCUAUGGAGAAAGUUGGCAAAGAGGGAGUCAUCACAGUAGCAGAUGGGAAAACUCUAGACAAUGAACUAGAAGUCGUUGAAGGAAUGAAAUUUGAUCGAGGCUACAUAUCACCCUACUUUAUUACUGAUCCAAAGAACCAAAAAUGUGAACUUGAAGAUCCUCUGAUUUUGAUUCAUGAGAAGAAAAUUUCAAGCAUCAAUGCAGUUGUGAAGGUGUUAGAGUUGUCUUUGAAGAGACAGAGACCUUUGCUGAUUGUUGCAGAAGACAUAGAAAGUGAUGCACUGGCCACUCUCAUCCUUAAUAAGCUUCGUGCUGGGAUUAAGGUUUGUGCUGUGAAAGCUCCUGGCUUUGGGGAGAACAGGAAAGCCAAUUUGCAAGACCUUGCUAUUCUCACUGGGGGAUCUCUCAUAACAGAAGAACUUGGUUUGAACCUUGAGAAAGUGGAACUUGACAUGCUUGGCACAUGCAAAAAGGUGACAAUCUCAAAAGACAACACUGUGAUUCUUGAUGGAUCUGGUGAAAAGAAGGCUAUAGAAGAGAGAUGUGACCAGAUAAGAUCUGCAAUUGAAUUGAGCACAUCAGACUAUGACAAAGAGAAGCAGCAAGAGAGGUUGGCGAAGCUUUCUGGUGGAGUUGCUGUCCUCAAGAUUGGAGGGGCCAGUGAAGCAGAAGUUGGUGAGAAAAAAGAUAGAGUCACAGAUGCCUUAAAUGCAACAAAAGCGGCUGUUGAAGAGGGAAUUGUCCCAGGUGGUGGUGUUGCACUUCUUUAUGCAUCUAAAGAGCUGGAUAAGUUACAGACUGCAAACUUUGAUCAAAAGAUUGGUGUCCAAAUAAUUCAGAAUGCUCUGAAGACUCCAGUUCACACCAUCGCAUCCAAUGCUGGAGUAGAGGGGGCUGUGGUUGUUGGCAAGCUUUUGGAACAGGAUGAACUUGACCUUGGCUAUGAUGCAGCCAAAGGCGAGUACGUCGACAUGGUGAAAGCGGGUAUUAUUGACCCGUUGAAGGUCAUCAGAACUGCAUUGGUGGAUGCUGCAAGUGUUUCGUCCUUGAUGACCACGACCGAGUCGGUCAUCGUUGAACUCCCCAAGAAUGAGGAUGCUCCUGCUAUGGGUGCUGGAAUGGGAGGAAUGGGAGGAAUGGACUACUAAUUUCUUCUAGUUUUGCAGGUUCAUUGAGAACAUUUGAAAUUUUGAGUACUGAUUGGAGGAGGCAAGUUGAUGUGUCUAUUGAUUGGCAACACUCCUUUUCCUUUUCUCUUCGAGAUGCUUCCCACAGCCGCUUAAUCGAUUACGUGGAACACAAGGUAGAAAGAACGGUACAAUGGUCACGAAGAAUAUUUAUGCUUUGUUAUUGGGAUUUCUUCUUGCUGCCAAUUCGUUCACAGAUAGAGAUAGAUUGGUUUUCUGCAUGUGUAUUGUCGUAGUAGAGAGCCGGUAAAACAUAGAACAGAUAUGAGAUUCGAAUUAAUUUUGAAUUAGAAAAUAAAUUAUUAUGAUAA